rnacentral:rRNA from 1 species
UCGAGAAUCAUUCGCAAUGGGCGAAAGCCUGACGAUGCGACGCCGCGUGAGCGAAGAAGGCCUUCGGGUUGUAAAGCUCUUUCGCUUGGGAACAAGAGAUAUUGGCUAAUAUCCAGUUGAUUUGAGCGUACCAGGUAAAGAAGCACCGGCUAACUCCGUGCCAGCAGCUGCGGUAAUACGGAGGGUGCAAGCAUUAAUCGGAUUUAUUGGGCGUAAAGAGCGCGUAGGCGGCGAAGAAAGUCAGAUGUGAAAUCCCGGGGCUUACCUCCGGAACUGCAUUUGAAACUUCUUCACUAGAGGGUAGGCGGAGAAAACGGAAUUCCACAAGUAGCGGUGAAAUGCGUAGAUAUGUGGAAGAACACCGGUGGCGAAGGCGGUUUUCUAGCUUAUACCUGACGCUGAGGCGCGAAAGCAAGGGGAGCAAACA